AGUCAUAUGCAACAGUGAUAACUUUGACUGCUUUUUAUCGAUCCAGAUAGAAUUCAACCAAACUGCCCAGUAGCGGCAACAACGACUACUUUAUAAGCGUGAUCUACAAAUAUUCACUUAGUUUUUUAUUUUUUUGUAUCAACACUUCACCAAACUCCUCUCUGUCUCCAAUGUCAUUCGAUCGAUCUUCAUGGGUAGCCUUUUGGCGAUCAACCGAUCGUUUCUCUCUGGAACACUUCAAGUACAUAAUUGGUGAACUGCAAGAGAUCAAAGUUGUGAACAAGCUCAAUAAGGACUCUGUCAUGGAUAUGUUGGGGGCAAUUGUAGAAAUAGUUACUUAUGGAGACCAAAACGACGCAUCAAUUUUCGAAUGUUUCAUGGAAUAUCAAAUUUUAGCAGAGUUUCUUCGUUUAAUAAAGAUCAGUAGAAAUUCCAGCAUUGAGGUGCAAUUGCUUCACUAUUUAAGCAUAUUGAUCCAAAAUUUGGAGAGUGAGAAUUCAAUUUACUAUUGUUUUAGCAACGGAUAUAUCAACAACAUCAUUCUCUACCCGUUUAAGUUUGACACUGGGGAUUUGGCUUCCUAUUUUGCAUCAUUUUUAAGAACAGUUAGCGGAAAACUAAAUAGAGAGACUAUAUAUCUUCUCGUGAACGUCGAAGAGGAUAUGGUAGUCUCAUUCCCAUUGUACAGUGAGGCACUUAAAUUCGCACGCAAUGAAGAAAAGAUGAUUCAGAUAGCAAUACGUGCAGUAACCCUCAAUGUUUACAAUGCCUGCGAUGAUAUGGUAUUAGCAUUUUUAACGACUCCUCCAGCCUCAGAAUAUUUCUCAGAUUUGGUGCUACACUUAAGGGACCAAUGCCUCCAUUUCGAUUCCCUUGUAAGAACUACAAUGGAUUCUUGCACGCGUGAGAUACGGAAUCAGCUGCAGAUGGGAACUGAUUUAGUUGUAAAUGAUCUUUAUUACUUUAACGAUAUACUCAAAAUUGGUCAGCCCGGUUUAAGUAGAUUGAUGAUUGAAAACAUUUUCAGAUCAUUAGUUUUACCAGCUUUGCUACCGCUGCAAUCGAGUGAGAACUUCGGCUCACAAUCUUCGAUCACAUCUCUGUGCGUAAUUUGUCGUCUUCUUCAAGUUGUUGAUGGAAGAGAGCUGGUUAAUUCUGUUGCAAUUGCUCUCUUAUGUUCUUAUAUGUUCUCAUUUGCGAGAAGUACUAUUGAGAAGGGUGACAGUGAUGAGGGCGCAAUGAUUAAUGUAGACACUGUUAAUCACUUCGCUGAGUAUUUAAUCGACAUUAAAGAAGUCGUAGUUCCUUUUCUUGAGGCUGAAGGAGCAGAAAACAUAAGCAAGACCAAUCUAUUUGGGAUACUAUCAGAGUACAUAUCCUGUCGCACUGGUUCCUCCAGCUGUCUGCUGGAUAAAUUUUCAGUUGAGAGGAACGGAAUACUUUCGUUAAUUCUAUCUGAAAAUAUCAGUAUAUUGCUUGCAUUCCUAAUGUUUUUGAUUAUUUUAUCCGAACACAAAGAUCUUGAUAGUUCACUAUCAUCUAUUUUGGGAUUUGCUGAUAAGAAUACGGGGCAAGAGAUGUCUUCUAACAAUUUGCUUCAACGUGCGAUGGAUGGUAAUAUCUUUGCCACACACAUGCCUAAGAUUUUGACUGCACUGUUGAGGGUUUUGGUGAGCCAGCCACCAUUCUCGAUAUCAACACGGUGGCACAUAGGGUGGGUUCUCGGGAAGCUACUAAGAUACCACGAUACAAAGUUCACAGAGCAUGAUAUCGAUCUUUUUAAUGUUUCAUAUGAACAGUCCAGGGAAGGACUUGCGCAAGAGCUCAAUGGGUGCUGGUCUGAUUAUAUCCCAACCACUGUAGAAAUCGAAUGGCUAAAGUGUACGAGAGCUUUGGCGGAGUCAUCAGGGUUGAAAGAUCCUUUUCUCACCCUUGAGGUUUCCACACAUGACCAUUUACCUGAAGGUAGUACGUCUUCCUCUCAUGCUUGGCAAAGGAUGGUUGAUGCAGUCAAGGAUCGAGUUUCAGGUUUUUGUACUUUGGCAUCACUUCGAGGCCAUCAUUUUUAAAAGAGAUACUCAAGAAGAACACAUGAAUCAACUAAGAAGUGCUUUGAAGGGUACUCUAGAUAAGGAAGAUGGUAUAGAUAUUCAUUCUGCAACUUAUGGAACUCGGACUGGAUUAGGUCCAGGUAUUCCUUGCAAAAUUGCCUUUUCGAAAAGGGAAGUGAAGGAUGUUUACUUGAUACCUGUGGCAAAAGGAAUAUUUGGAAAGUUACUUCUCGCGGAGAAACUUUCCUUAGAUAGUGAUGAGGGCGUUGUAAUUGCUGUUGCUCCGCUGGCUGGGUUGAGUCCAAGGAUAGAUGAUGAGCACUCAACAUGGUUGCAUCUACGGAUAAGAGAGUUUGAUCCAAGAGUCCAUGCAAAAAAAAGCUGGAGCAAAUGAUUUUACUGGCGCCAAUAAUGUGGUGGAUGGAAGAUGGACCCUUGCAUUUCAAACCACUGAGAUUUGUGAUUCUGCUUUGUUGUUGACCCAAAGGGAGCUCGACAAACAACGGUCCUCAGUCGAGCGAUUGCUUGCUCCAUUUCUCCAGAACUAUUCUCCCAAGAACUCGUCAGAUUAAUAAGGUGCGUAAACCUGCACGCAAAAUUUUGUUUCAUGUUUUCAGUAUGGAUCAUUGUUUAGCAAGUUGUAGCUGUAUUUACCUUUGAGAUGUAUCAUAACUUUUAUUCUGUUAUUCAUUUGUGAUACAUUCAACUAUGUAAUUAAACAAACAUGUCUUGUCCAAGUAUUCUUUGUCAAAAUAAAACUUAGGGUUUAAGGUCCCAGUUGAAAUUAAA